UACGUAGGGUGCAAGCGUUAAUCGGAAUUACUGGGCGUAAAGGGCGCGUAGGCGGCUCGGUCAGCGUGCGGUGAAAGCCCGGAGCUCAACUCCGGAGGGUCGGUGGAUACUGCCAGUCUUGAAGGUGCUAGGGGGAGAUGGAAUUACCGGUGUAGCGGUGAAAUGCGUAGAUAUCGGUAGGAACACCAGUGGCGAAGGCGGUCUCCUGGGGCAUUCUUGACGCUGAGGCGCGAAAGCUGGGGGGGAGCGAACGGG
rnacentral:rRNA from 1 species